rnacentral:rRNA from 1 species
UACGUAGGGGGCAAGCGUUGUCCGGAUUUAUUGGGCGUAAAGAGCUCGUAGGCGGUUCCGUAAGUCAGGUGUGAAAAAUCUGGGCUCAACCCAGUGGAGCACCUGAUACUGCGGUGACUCGAGUCCGGUAGGGGAGUGUGGAAUUCCUGGUGUAGCGGUGGAAAUGCGCAGAUAUCAGGAGGAACACCGAGGGCGAAGGCAGGCUCUGCGGCGUACUGACGUGAGGAGCGAAAGCAGUGGGGAGCGAAACAGG